CUUCCCAAAUCAGUCUACCCAAAUCACUCCUCUCUCGCGCUCUUUCUCUCACUCUCACCCAGUCUCGUCUCUCUCUCUCUGGUCUGAACUCGUGAAACCCUCUCACUGAUUUCUUCCUUGCUCUUUCACAUGCACACAAGCACUACCGGAAACCCCCUCUCUCCGUUCGAAUCACACCACCGGAAGCCCUCUCUCUCCUUUCGAAUCGCACCACCGGAAGCCCUAUUCUCUGUUCGUUUUGCUUCACUGAUGCAGCACCACCAGAAGCCCUAAUCUCCGUCCAUUUCGCACCAGAAAAUAGAGGUGAAAGUCAACAUUCACUGCCAUAAGUGCAAAAGCAAUAUAUUAAAGUCGUCACUAAACUUCAAGGUGUUUGGCUCCACGGUCUUGGAUUCCAAGGUCUCAAGUGAACAUGAUGAGAUCCAAAGUCAUUUGGCAAUUGUUCUUCGUAAAUAGUUGAGUCCAUGCAUUUAAUGCUCGGGCAUUGUUAUCCUUUUAAUAGGUUGGUGGUGCUAGUGACAUAGCAGAGAAUUACACUGGUUUUCUUCAUCUCUCAUUGUGGAUCCACACAAGCACCAUGUAUACAUAUAGGGCCUACUACACACGUUUCAUUAUUUUGUAGUUGUGUAGAAGAUUAAGUUAAUCGUUCUAUAUUUGAGGAUAAUCCGAUGCGAGCUCAACUCCUCUUUUAGCAUCCUUGGAAACCAAAAUCAUUACAAGGUUCAAUUAUAUGAAAUGCGUCUUCUGUACCAUUAUAUUAUUAAUUGCUAUUAUUUUUUAGAUAUUUUAUAAUCAUUUUGAAAUAUACUAUUUUGAAAUCAGCAAUAUUACCAGGUAGAAAUUACAAAUGGUUUUUAGAUUGGCUUUUAGGACACAAGGCUAACAUGUGAUUCAUAGUUCAUAAUAACGAAGAAUACUUUUCACACUUAAGCUUGAAAAUAGGCCAUCGAGGGUCAAAAUCAUGCAACAGCCACGAGACGGCCCGGGUAACACCUCAAAAACCUCGGGAGGGACCAACGCAAG